rnacentral:rRNA from 1 species
UGGGGAAUCUUGCACAAUGGGCGAAAGCCUGAUGCAGCGACGCCGCGUGCGGGAUGAAGGCCUUCGGGUUGUAAACCGCUUUCAGCAGGGACGAGGCCGCAAGGUGACGGUACCUGCAGAAGAAGCCCCGGCUAACUACGUGCCAGCAGCCGCGGUAAUACGUAUGUUGCGAGCGUUAUCCGGAAUUAUUGGGCUUAAAGGGCAUCUAGGCGGUAAGACAAGUUGAAGGUGAAAACCUGUGGCUCAACCAUAGGCUUGCCUACAAAACUGUUGAACUAGAGUACUGGAAAGGUGGGUGGAACUACACGAGUAGAGGUGAAAUUCGUAGAUAUGUGUAGGAAUGCCGAUGAUGAAGAUAACUCACUGGACAGAAACUGACGCUGAAGUGCGAAAGCUAGGGGAGCAAACAGG